rnacentral:rRNA from 1 species
CACGGAGGCCCCGAGCGUUUGUUCGGAAUUACUGGGCGUAAAGAGUGCGUAGGCGGCGAGGCAAGUCAGAUGUGAAAGCCCGGGGCUCAACCCCGGAAUUGCAUCCGAAACUGCCUUGCUUGAGGGUUGGAGAGGAGACUGGAAUUCACGGUGUAGCAGUGAAAUGCGUAGAGAUCGUAAGGAAGACCAGUGGCGAAGGCGAGUCUCUGGAAAGCUGCUGACGCUGAGGCACGAAGGCCAGGGGAGCAAACGGG